rnacentral:lncRNA from 1 species
GAGAGUGAGAAAGAGCCAGCGAGGCCUGGAAACAAAAAGCGUGAAGGAGACCGUAGCAAGUAGGAAGAAGAAACCAGACCUGGCUUCGUCUCUGAUAGAUCGUCCAAUUUUCUAUCCGAAUUUUGGCCAACUGAUUCUGGUUUCGGUGGAUGAACAAUGAACAGAACGAGAGAGAUCCUGAUAACAUCAACAACAAGAAGAAGAAAAAGGAAUCUCCAUUGUUGAUUUACUCCGUCUCGAAAGCAAAGAAACGAAUCGUGUCUAAGUUCAGAAGGAGACCCUUAUCGCCGAAUACGUCUCCUUCUUCUGGGUUUUGGAAAAGAGUCUGCUUUUGUGGAAUUGAACCUGACCCUGAAGAUGACAACUUUAAGCUUAGGGUUCUGCUACAGACCAAUGAUUUCUUCUCCAAGGAUUCUAAUCCACAUCUCUGUUUCCCCGAACGCCUUGGCAAGCAGGUCAUCAGGAAUCGGUGGGUUAGAACCAAACAGAGAUGGUCCAACAACUUGAGUCCCGGGAAGCUGGCUAUCGAAAGCAGCGAGGACGGAAGCAGGAGCUUUGUUAGGGUUCUGCUGGAAAUGGAGGAGAGCUUUGGGGAAAACGAAAACGUCUCCUUUGUUGACGUGUUUGGAGAUGAGUUUCCCGGUAGUGGUUAAGAAACCGACGAAGAGACGGCCUUCAAGGACGAAGAUGGCUUCAGAGGCUCUUGGGUGAAGAUGUGGUGGGUUAAGUCCGCCAGGUGCGUAGUCGAUCCGAGAGAUGGAGACUCCCAGAGUGUUGAGGCCAGGCACUUUCUCAACGUUGGCUCCUGUAACAGCUGAGCCCAUUGAAGAGUUGGCUGUGGCUGCAGCAGUGGCUAAGCCUAUGAAGUAGAAGUCUUCUGGUGUUACUUUUGCUGGGUCUUUGCAAGGGUAUCCGUUGACUUUCAAACCUAAUCAGAACAUGAUAAAAAGUCAACAACAAAAUAUUGGAAUUGGUCUUGGUUGUUUCAAAACACCAAAGCUGCGUUUGCAGUUAACUAUAUCUGGUAAAUGUAAAUGCAAGCAGAACAUAAAUGGUAUAGAGAGAGAUGUGAUACCGUUGGAGAGAUCAGCAACACAAAAGUCUUGAAGCAUAUUUGUAUCGGCGAGGGCCAUGUGGGCGGCCACGAGCAUGAAGGUGACGAAUAUAGGGAUCAUGGAAGUUGCCAUUGUUGAUUGUUGUUGUUUGUAAGA